GAUGAAGAACGUAGCGAACUGCGAUAAGUAAUGUGAAUUGCAGAAUUCAGUGAAUCAUCGAGUCUUUGAACGCACAUUGCGCCCCCUGGUAUUCCGGGGGGCAUGCCUGUCCGAGCGUCAUUGCUGCCCUCAAGCACGGCUUGUGUGUUGGGCCUCCGUCCUCCUCCCGGGGGACGGGCCCGAAAGGUAGCGGCGGCACCGCGUCCGGUCCUCGAGCGUAUGGGGCUUCGUCACCCGCUCUUGUAGGCCCGGCCGGCGCUUGCCGACACAUCAAUCUUUUUUCCAGGUUGACCUCGGAUCAGGUAGGGAUACCCGCUGAACUUAAGCAUAUCAAUAAGCGGAGGA
rnacentral:misc_RNA from 1 species